UGUCUACUAGUUGUCGGGUUUUAAUUAACUUGGUAACGCAGCUAACGCGUGAAGUAGACCGCCUGGGGAGUACGGUCGCAAGAUUAAAACUCAAAGGAAUUGACGGGGACCCGCACAAGCGGUGGAUGAUGUGGAUUAAUUCGAUGCAACGCGAAAAACCUUACCUACCCUUGACAUGUCAGGAAGUCCGGAGAGAUCUGGAUGUGCCCGAAAGGGAGCCUGAACACAGGUGCUGCAUGGCUGUCGUCAG
rnacentral:rRNA from 1 species